rnacentral:sRNA from 1 species
AAUAAAAAGAGACCGAAUACGAUUCCUGUAUUCGGUCCAGGGAAAUGGCUCUUGGGAGAGAGCCGUGCGCUAAAAGUUGGCAUUAAUGCAGGCUAAAUCGCCUUGCCCUUUAAGAAUAGAUGACGACGCCAGGUUUUCCAGUU